rnacentral:rRNA from 1 species
GUGGGGGAUAUUGCACAAUGGAGGAAACUCUGAUGCAGCGACGCCGCGUGAGUGAAGAAGUAUUUCGGUAUGUAAAGCUCUAUCAGCAGGGAAGAAAGACUCGCAAGAGAGAUGACGGUACCUGACUAAGAAGCCCCGGCUAACUACGUGCCAGCAGCCGCGGUAAUACGUAGGGGGCAAGCGUUAUCCGGAUUUACUGGGUGUAAAGGGAGCGCAGACGGUUUAGUAAGUCUGAAGUGAAACCCCACGGCUCAACCGUGGGCUUGCUUUGGAAACUAUUAAACUAGAGUACUGGAGAGGUAAGCGGAAUUCCUAGUGUAGCGGUGAAAUGCGUAGAUAUUAGGAGGAACAUCGGUGGCGAAGGCGGCUUACUGGACAGCAACUGACGUUGAGGCUCGAAGGCGUGGGGAGCAAACAGG